UACGAAGGGGGCUAGCGUUGUUCGGAAUCACUGGGCGUAAAGGGCGCGUAGGCGGCCGAUCAAGUCGGGGGUGAAAGCCUGUGGCUCAACCACAGAAUUGCCUUCGAUACUGUUUGGCUUGAGACCGGAAGAGGUUAGUGGAACUGCGAGUGUAGAGGUGAAAUUCGUAGACAUUCGCAAGAACACCAGUGGCGAAGGCGGCUGACUGGUCCGGUUCUGACGCUGAGGCGCGAAAGCGUGGGGAGCAAACAGG
rnacentral:rRNA from 1 species